rnacentral:rRNA from 1 species
UGACACGUAGGCACCAAGCGUUGUCCGGAUUUAUUGGGCGUAAAGAGCUCGUAGGCGGUUCAGUAAGUCGGGUGUGAAAACUCAGGGCUCAACCCUGAGCUGCCACCCGAUACUGCUGUGACUUGAGUCUGGUAGGGGAGUGGGGAAUUCCUGGUGUAGCGGUGAAAUGCGCAGAUAUCAGGAGGAACACCGGUGGCGAAGGCGCCACUCUGGGCCACGACUGACGCUGAGGAGCGAAAGCAUGGGUAGCAAACAGGAUUAGAUACCCUGGUAGUCCAUGCCGUAAACGUUGGGCACUAGGUGUGGGUUCCAACCAACGGAAUCCGUGCCGUCGCUAACGCAUUAAGUGCCCCGCCUGGGGAGUACGGCCGCAAGGCUA